UUUUGCUUUCCCUUUUCCUUUCUCGAAAGGGAUUUAUUCCAAUGAUAAAUGAAUUUAACUGGCAGGCAAACCGCAGAUGGGUGAACAUGAAAGAUUGAUGUAGCCAGAUGGAGUCAUGUUUGUUUUAAUCUGCCAUCAGCAGGCACAGUAGUGACAGCCUUUUCACGCUGUUUUACAGGAACCAAACGCUCUGUAACUUGAUUGCAAUUAUAUCACAAGAAAUAAGAAACCCCAAGAGAUACAGUGAUAACAGUGAGUGUGAGGCAAUGACAAGACGUUUCAGGACUGGAGUAGAGUGCUGAGCACAAAUCUCACAGCUGAUGAAAAAAAGACAAUAUUUAAUGUAGUUACUGUCAAAUAAUCCAGUCAAGCCAUCCAGACAUUUGUUGCCAAACAAGAUCACUGAGGCUAAGAGGAUUCUUCACGGAGUCACCCUCCUUUGUGAGGAAAAAAGUCACUUUUUGCAGCAGAGGAUCACCCUACACUGACCAGUAUUGCCCAGUAUUGUUCUGCUCCCGCUGCAGCGUUGGUGGCGAUCCCUGGCAGAACCCGACUGUAUCUCCGGCUAAUGAGUUGUCAGAAAUUCGGCUCCGUCCCUCGCCUCCCGGGCAGGUUAUUAUUAUGAGG
rnacentral:lncRNA from 1 species